AGAUCCCUGGAGAUAACAGAUGCAAAUGACACCUGGACAUGCACUUGGGGAGCGUCAGAAUCCAAAACAACAGCAUAUUACACCGUUUUCUUCAGAGAGAUGAUUGUACAUGAUGCAUAUAAAUGGUUGUGGAACGCUAAGAGCAUCCCCAAACUAAAGGUCUUUGGCUCGUUUCUGCUAUCCGAUCGCCUAAACGCGAGAAACAUGCUCAAGAGAAGUCAUUAUAACAUUGUCAACAACUUUGACUGUCUGCUUUGUGGACAACACAUUGAAGAAACGGUGGAACACCUUUUUUCCAAUGUUCAUUCAGUGCAGCAUGCUGGUACAAGCUGA
rnacentral:rRNA from 1 species